UGUAUUUGAAUUAUCAAAGUUGGGAUAACAAUGUAGAUAUGAGUUGGGUCAAUGUGAGAUGACUUGUAAGUUGUGGGAGUUGACGUAAUACGAUAGGAGUGAAAGGGUGUAAGUGUUAUUUGUGCUAUAUAAGUCAAAAAAAAAUGGGGCAGGAAACCACUUUCACUUCCCCUUUUCUUUUCUUUUCUUCUCCGGCGUCUCUCUCUCGGCUCUCACCUCUCUCACAUUUUCUCUUCAAUUCCAUCUCCUACGAGUGAGAUUUUUGGAAAAUCCCAAGCACUAAAGUUGUUCUACGCGACGAGAGCUUCCUAUCCAUCGAAGAAAAUUCACGAUCGGAGCACUUCGAAGUUUCCUCCAUGUUCGGGCUUGCUUCUAACCCUCGAGGUACUCGCCAUGGCACUUAGCUUGGAUUGCACAUUGAGACGUCUCUUGAGAGCUUCAUUGGUAUCAUAAAGGAAGUGUUUAUCAUCUAGUCAAAUUCAUGUUGUGUACUUUACUCGCAAUGGAAAGUUGUACCUUUUGAUGAGAAUAUAUGUAAAGCUAUGUGUAAAUUCCUCUCCUUGAUCAUUAUGGAACUCAUUUAAUUGUAAAUGUUUGGGAGACUUUAUGUAAAAAAAAAAAAAUUUAGAGAGAAGAAGAAGAGACUUUGAUUCUUUA